rnacentral:lncRNA from 1 species
AUUAUAUUUAUGAAACUAAACUUGAAGCUUGGAUGGAAUAUAAAUAGCUCAUUGUUUGUUACCAAUUUCACACAGCUGGUAGGUGUUGGCAUUAUGGUUAGGUUAUCUACAGCUGGUAGCUAAGUACUAACAAAAUCAAACAGGGUUUGGUCUAUUUUUAGGUGCUGAAUGUGUGAUCAACACACAAGAUAAAGACCCUUCAACAGAAGGAUUUGAUUGGAUGACACAAUAAUAAAAGCCUUAGGGCAGGCCUUAUCCAGUGAAAAAGAAUAUGGGCCUGAUAUUCAAUUGGAGUU